rnacentral:rRNA from 1 species
GACGAACGCUGGCGGCGUGCCUAAUACAUGCAAGUAGAACGCACAGUUUAUACCGUAGCUUGCUACACCAUAGACUGUGAGUUGCGAACGGGUGAGUAACGCGUAGGUAACCUGCCUGGUAGCGGGGGAUAACUAUUGGAAACGAUAGCUAAUACCGCAUAAUAUUGAUUAUUGCAUGAUAAUUGAUUGAAAGAUGCUAUUGCAUCACUACCAGAUGGACCUGCGUUGUAUUAGCUAGUAGGUGAGGUAACGGCUCACCUAGGCGACGAUACAUAGCCGACCUGAGAGGGGGAUCGGCCACACUGGGACUGAGACCCGGCCCAGACUCCUACGGGAGGCAGCAGUAGGGAAGCUUCGGCAAUGGACGAAAGUCUGACCGAGCAACGCCGCGUGAGUGAAGAAGGUUUUCGGAUCGUAAAGCUCUGUUGUAAGAGAAGAACGGGUGUGAGAGCGGAAAGUUCACACUGUGACGGUAUCUUACCAGAAAGAGACGGCUAACUACGUG